rnacentral:rRNA from 1 species
UACGUAGGUGGCAAGCGUUGUCCGGAUUUACUGGGCGUAAAGAGCGCGCAGGCGGUCGGAUAAGUCGAAUGUGAAAGCCCCCGGCUCAACUGGGGAGGGUCAUUCGAUACUGUUCGACUCGAAGGCAGGAGAGGGAAGUGGAAUUCCCGGUGUAGUGGUGAAAUGCGUAGAUAUCGGGAGGAACACCAGUGGCGAAGGCGACCUCCUGGCCUGUUCUUGACGCUGAGGCGCGAAAGCUAGGGGAGCGAACGGG